GUUGGGUACUUUUCAGAUGACUAUAUCAGCGAGAAGAUAUGAUUAUGAAAACAGCACAUUAUUGCGUAACGUGUUAUUGUUUUAGUUGGUAAAUUCGUUAACUGAUUUUAAUAUUUACAAACGCAAUUCAAUGUGUUUGCUGAAAAUGGAGGACCCUUAACAUGUUGAACACAAAUCAACUAUCAUAUGUUUUAUAUGAAAAUAACAAU
rnacentral:lncRNA from 1 species